rnacentral:rRNA from 1 species
CCCGCACAAGCGGUGGAGCACGUGGUUUAAUUCGAUGCAAACCGAAGAACCUUACCUGGGUUUUGACAUGUGCGUGUUACUGAGGUGAAAGCCGAGGGGCCAUAUCUUCGGAUGUGGAGCGUACACAGGUGCUGCAUGGCUGUCGUCAGCUCGUGUCGUGAGAUGUUGGGUUAAGUCCCGCAACGAGCGCAACCCUUGUCAUUAGUUGCCAUCAUUUGGUUGGGCACUCUAAUGAGACUGCCGGUGACAAACCGGAGGAAGGUGGGGAUGACGUCAAGUCCUCAUGGCCCUUAUGGGUAGGGCUUCACACGUCAUACAAUGGUCGGUACAGAGGGUUGCCAACCCGCGAGGGGGAGCUAAUCCCACAAAGCCGAUCGUAGUCCGGAUCGCAGUCUGCAACUCGACUGCGUGAAGUCGGAAUCGCUAGUAAUCGUGGAUCAGCAUGUCACGGUGAAUACGUUCCCGGGUCUU